CCUACGGGAGGCAGCAGUGAGGAAUAUUGGUCAAUGGGCGGAAGCCUGAACCAGCCAAGUAGCGUGCAGGAUGAAGGCCCUACGGGUUGUAAACUUCUUUUAUACGGGAAUAAAGUGCCUUACGUGUAGGGCUUUGCAUGUACCUUAUGAAUAAGGAUCGGCUAAUUCCGUGCCAGCAGCCGCGGUAAUACGGAAGGUCCGGGCGUUAUCCGGAUUUAUUGGGUUUAAAGGGUGCGUAGGCGGCAUUUUAAGCGUGCUGUGAAAUGGCCGGGCUCAACCCGGGCCUUGCAGCGGGAACUGGGGGGCUUGAGUGCGCGGGAGGCAGGCGGAAUUCGUCGUGUAGCGGUGAAAUGCUUAGAUAUGACGAAGAACCCCGAUUGCGAAGGCAGCUUGCUGCA
rnacentral:rRNA from 1 species